CAACCCUCGAGAUCCCCCUUUGCGGGGGGAGAUCGGUGUUGGGGCUCGACCGUCCCCGGUGGCGGUCGUCCCCUAAAUAGAGUGGCGGUCUCGCUGUAGCCUCCUCUGCGCAGUAGCUUGUAUUCUCGCAGGACGGAGAGCGGCGCGGCCACGCCGUGAAACUCCCCAAAUUUUUCAA
rnacentral:misc_RNA from 1 species